UCAGAGUCUGGAAAGAGCAGUGAAAGAAAAGGCGGUCGAUCUCGUUCCCAUUCUCGUUCAGAAUCCAGGUCUAGCUCAAAAUCCCGAUCUAGAAGGAAAAGAUCACACUCAAAACACAGAAGUAGAUCUGGCAACAGAUCUCUCUCAAGACACAAGGACCGACGCAGAUCCAGAAGUCCCCUGAAAAAACGGUCUAGAUCUACGGAAAGACGGAAAUCAAGAAGUCGCUCUCGUUCUCGAGAAAGGCGUAAAAGGAAGAGUAGAAGUCCCUCCAAGUCUCCUAAAACAUCAAAAACUGCAAAAAGAAAGUCUUCACGAUCUCCUUCUCCAAGAAGGUCGGUUUGACGUAAACAGAAGUUAAUGAUUAGUAAAGAAGGAAGGAUUUAAGUGUUUUCACUGUUUUGC
rnacentral:lncRNA from 1 species